AAGAACGAGUCCAUGAAGAAGACAAACGGACGAAGAUGAACGGGUCCUCACAAACUCGACGUUAUCGGAAUCAACCCGAAGAAGCAAUCACCGGAAAAGAAGCACACAACAUAGUAAACAACCAACACAUCAACAUGGCAUGAUGCACAAACGAGUAUGAUGCAUGUCCGGUUUAAAGAGGCAUGGCAUGGCAAAAUGCACAAGCAAUCCUACAAAUUAAGUGGAGCUCAAUAUGCAACGAGUUGCAUAUUGACGAAACACCACAUCAAUUAUUUAGUUCUCUCUCGUUUAUGUACCCAACAAUAUUAAAUGUUGAUUAACAUGGCAAGAGGUGAAACAUGAUGAAACUAUCUAAUCUAGGCAUGUUUAAAUGAGCCGGAACAACAAAACAACAAGUCCGGAAAAUCCCCAUGUGCAAAUAUUAGGUUUGGUCCUGAUCUGUCCUAAACACAAUUUUAGAGUUGUUUAACAUGCAAAGUAAGGUCACCAUGAUAAACUAGGCAAAAUUCUACCCCAUUUACAUAUAAAGUUUAUUAAAUUCCGAGUUACGGUUAUUAAGUUAUGAAUAAAAUCAUUUUAGCAUGACAUAGAGCAAAAUUAAUGCAAACAACAUUUUAGACAUUUUAACAUGGCAAGAAAGUGGCAUAUUAUUAAUCUACACAAAAUUCUGAGCAAGUUUCAUUUAUAAAGCAUUUUAAUCCGAUGCACGGUUAAUUAGUUAUUAAAUGCAUGAAGACUAGGGGCUUUUCUGUAAAUCUGCAAAUCCCUGUAAAUAGAUAAAUCGCUGAACAGGAAAAAAAAACGAGUCAUGGGAUGAUUCUGAAACAGGGCAGGCGGUGGGGGCUCUCUCACCACGGGCUUCGGCCCGGUAGCAGGAGGAGGAGGCAGGCCGGCGAUGCUGGGUCUCGGAUCUGGUUGGCGGCCCAGCAGAGAGGAGGGACUGGCGCUGGGCCUGGUGGAGCUGGGCCGGAUCGGGCGAAGGGGAGGCGGCCCGCGCGAGAGGGAUCUCGUCCCCGACCUCCCGCCGAGGCCGAGGCGAGCCAUGGUGGCGGCGGCAGGGUCCGGUGGUGGCCUGAGGCGGCGGGGCGAGGCGACACCGGCAGGAAUGGACAGAUCGGGAACUAGGGAAGCUGGAUCCGGUGUCGAGGGUGGUCGACGGCGCUCGGGGAUGCGGGAUCCGGCAGGGCGGAGCUCUCAUGGCGGCGCAAGUCGACGGGGCUUGGCAGGGAGCAAGGUGGUGCGGCCGGGAGGCCAGCGCGGAAGGAGGCGGUGCCUCUCCAGCGAAGUCCGGUAGGGGAGGCGGCGAUGCGGGCUCUGGAUCGGGGCUCCUCCCGAUCUGGAGCUCGGGGAGCAGGGGUGGCGCGAUGCGGCCUCAGGGCCCAGAUCGGGGCCCGGGCGGCCUGGAGCGGGCCUGGCGGCGCGGGGCGAUGGGAGGAGGCGGUGGGGCGACGUGGCAGCGCCCGGUUGGGCAGGGCGACGCCUCAGGUGGCGGCUGGCCUCUUGGCAGCGCCCCAAGUGGCGACGGGGAGGUGGCUGCGCGCGGAAAUCAAGGAGAAGGAGGUGGGAGGCGGCUGGGAAAUGAUUGGGGCACUGAGAUUUAGGAGGAGGGGUAGGUAGCUGCCCAAAAUGGAAGGGGGAAGGUUUAUAUAGGGCAGGUUUUAGGGUUAGGGGGGUUUCGCUCCGUUUCUGGAUCCUCCGAUCGCAAACGAACGGCCCCGGUCAAAGGGGAAAACUAGAUGGGGUUUGUGGGCUGUGUAGGAGGGUUAGGCUGGGAGGAGAGGGGAGAGAUGCAGCCCGGCACAGUUUCCGGAGACCGAAAACCUGCGACGAAAAGACCGGCUACUAUUGCCGCUAUAUUUAAUCAUUGGGGCAUCAAACGAACUCCGAUUGCGAUGAAACUUGACAGGAGGUCUAUCUACACUAUAAUAAGACCACACGUCAAAUCUCAUCCCAUUCCGAGAACAUUUUCUGGCCACUUAUAAAAUACUAUCUCGGACAUGCCGCGGGCGCGUGCAAGUGUGUCUCGUCUCAGAAUGGACAACGGAGAGAACGAGGAGGCCGGGACGGAUGCAAGUUUUGAAAACAUGAUGACGCAAUGCACAUGAUGACAUGAUGAAAUGCAACACGCAAGCAAAUGACAUGGCAACGACGGCGAAUAACUGCACGACACCUGGCACAUCGGUCUCGGGGCGUUACACUAGUGAUCUUGUCAACCAUCAACACUUGAUGUUUUUCUUGAUUUCUACCUUCGUUUAUUUCAGCAUCACGAAGAGCUUGGGAGUUGUUUCCGCUAUCCCUUGCUUAUUAUAGUUCAUCACGAAGUUCUACUAACUUGGUGAUGGUGACUAGAGAAUUCUGUCAAUCACUAUCUUAUCUGGAAGAUUGACUCCCACUUGAUUCAAGCGAUUGUAGUACCCAGACAAUCUGAGCACAUGCUCACUAGUUGAGCGAUUCUCCUCCAUCUUUUAGCUAUAGAACUUGUUGGAGAUUUCAUAUCUCUCAACUCGGGUAUUUUCUUGAAAUAUUAACUUCAACUCCUGGAACAUCUCAUAUGGUCCAUGACGUUCAAAACGUCUUUAAAGUCCCGAUUCUAAGCCACUAAGCAUGAUGCACUAAACUAUCAAGUAGUCAUUUUUGGGGAACGUAGUAAUUUCAAAAAAUUUCCUACGCACACGCAAGAUCAUGGUGAUGCAUAGCAACGAGAGGGGAGAGUGUUGUCUACGUACCAACGCAGACCGACUGCGGAAGCGAUCACACAACGUAGAGGAAGUAGUCGUACGUCUUCUUUCCGAUCCGACCGAUCCAAGCACCGUUACUCCGGCACCUCCGAGUUCUUAGCACACGUACAGCUCGAUGACGAUCCCCGGGCUCCGAUCCAGCAAAGCUUCGGGGAGGAGUUCCGUCAGCACGACGGCGUGGUGACGAUCUUGAUGUUCUGCCGACGCAGGGCUUCGCCUAAGCACUACAACGGUAUGACCGAGGUGGAAUAUGGUGGCAGGGGCACUGCACACGGCUAAGGGACGAUCUCAAGGAUCAACUUGUGUGUCUAUGGGGUGCCCCUUGCCUCAGUAUAUAAAGGAUGGAGGAGGAGGAGGCCGGCCAAGGCAUAAGGUGCGGCCAGGAUGGGAGUCCUACUAGGACUCCAAGUCCUAGUAGGAGUCCAUCAAGAGGGGAGGAAGGGAGAAGGAAGUGGAGGAGUAGGAAAGGUGGCCGGCCCCCUUUUCCCUAGUCCAAUUCGGACUAGAGGGGAGGGGGGGCGCAGCAGGCCUUUUCUCCUCUUCCCACUAAAGCCCAUCAAGGCCCAAUACUUCUCCCAGCGAAUUCCCGUCACUCUCCGGUACUCCGAAAAAUACCCGAAUCACUCGGAACCUUUCCGAAGUCCGAAUAUAGUCGUCCAAUAUAUCGAUCUUUACGUCUCGACCAUUUCGAGACUCCUCGUCAUGUCCCCGAUCUCAUCCGGGACUCUGAACUCCUUCGGUACAUCAAAACUCAUAAACUCAUAAUAUAACUGUCAUCGAAACCUUAAGCGUGCGGACCCUACGGUUCGAGAACAAUGUAGACAUGACCGAGACACGUCUCCGGUCAAUAACCAAUAGCGGGACCUGGAUGCCCAUAUUGGCUCCUACAUAUUCUACGAAGAUCUUUAUCGGUCAAACCGCAUAACAACAUACGUUGUUCCCUUUGUCAUCGGUAUGUUACUUGCCCGAGAUUCGAUCGUCGGUAUCCAAUACCUAGUUCAAUCUCGUUACCGGCAAGUCUCUUUACUCAUUCCGUAAUACAUUAUCUCGCAACUAACUCAUUAAUUGCAAUGCUUGCAAGGCUUAUGUGAUGUGCAUUACCGAGAGGGCCCAGAGAUACCUCUCCGACAAUCGAAGUGACAAAUCCUAAUCUCGAAAUACGCCAACCCAACAUCGACCUUUGGAGACACCUGUAAUGCUCCUUUAUAAUCACCCAGUUACGUUGUGACGUUUGGUAGCACCCAAAGUGUUCCUCCGGCAAACGGGAGUUGCAUAAUCUCAUAGUCAUAGGAACAUGUAUAAGUCAUGAAGAAAGCAAUAGCAACAUACUAAACGAUCGUGUGCUAAGCUAAUGGAAUGGGUAAUGUCAAUCAGUUCAUUCAACUAAUGAUGUGAUCUCGUUAAUCAAAUAACAACUCUUUUGUCCAUGGUUAGGAAACAUAAUCAUCUUUGAUUAACGAGCUAGUCAAGUAGAGGCAUACUAGUGACACUCUGUUUGUCUAUGUAUUCACACAUGUAUUAUGUUUCCGGUUAAUACAAUUCUAGCAUGAAUAAUAGACAUUUAUCAUGAUAUAAGGAAAUAAAUAAUAACUUUAUUAUUGCCUCUAGGGCAUAUUUCCUUCAGUCUCCCACUUGCACUAGAGUCAAUAAUCUAGAUCACAUCACCAUGUGAUUAACAUCGAUAGUUCACAUCAUCAUGUGAUUAACACCCAUAGUUCACAUCGUCAUGUGACCAACACUCAAAGGGUUUACUAGAGUCAGUAAUCUAGUUCACAUCUCUAUGUGAUUAACACCCAAAGAGUACUAAGGUGUGAUCAUGUUUUGCUUGUGAGAUAAUUUUAGUCAACGGGUCUGUCACAUUCAGAUUCGUAAGUAUUUUGCAAGUUCUAUGUCUACAAUGCUCUACAUGGAGCUACUCUAGCUAAUUGCUCCCACUUUCAAUAUGUAUCCAGAUUGAGACUUAGAAUCAUCUGGAUCAGUGUCAAAAACUUGCAUCGACGUAACCCUUUACGAUGAACCUUUUUGUCACGUCCAUAAUCGAGAAACAUAUCCUUAUUUCACUAAGGAUAAUUCUGACCGCUGUCUAGUGAUCUACUCCUAGAUCACUAUUGUACUCCCUUGCCAAAUCAGUGCAGGGUAUACAAUAGAUCUGGUAUACAGCAUGACAUACUUUAUAGAACCUAUGGCCAAGGCAUAGGGAAUGACUUUCAUUCUCUUUCUAUCUUCUGCCGUGGUCGGGCUUUGAGUCUUACUCAACUUCACACCUUAUAAUACAGGCAAGAACUCUUUCUUUGACUGCUCCAUUUUGAACUACUUCAAAAUCUUGUCAAGGUAUGUACUCAUUGAAAAUACUUAUCUAGCGUCUUGAUCUAUCUCUAUAGAUCUUGAAGCUCAAUAUGUAAGCAGCUUCACCGAAGUCUUUCUUUGAAAAACUCCUUUCAAACACUCCUUUAUGCUUUACAGAAUAAUUCUACAUUAUUUCCGAUCAACAAUAUGUCAUUCACAUAUACUUAUCAGAAAUGUUGUAGUGCUCCCACUCAGUUUCUUGUAAAUACAGGCUUCACCGCAAGUCUGUAUAAAACUAUAUGCUUUGAUCAACUCAUCAAGGCGUAUAUUCCAACUCCGAGAUGCUUGCACCAGUCCACAGAUGGAUCGCUGGAGCUUGCACAUUUUGUUAGCACCUUUCGGAUUGACAAAACCUUCUGUUGCAUCAUAUACAACUCUUCUUUAAUAAAUCCAUUAAGGAAUGCAGUUUUGUUUAUCCAUUUGCCAGAUUUCAUAAAAUGCGGCAAGUACUAACAUGAUUCGGACAGACUCAAGCAUAGAUACGAGUGAGAAGCUCUCGUCGUAGUCAACACCUUGAACUUGUCGAAAACCUUUUGCGACAAUUCUAGCUUUGUAGAUAGUAACACUACUAUCAACGUCCGUCUUCCUCUUGAAGAUCCAUUUAUUCUCAAUUGCUUGCCGUUCAUCGGGCAAGUCAACCAAAGUCCAAACUUUGUUCUCAUACAUGGAUCAUAUCUCAGAUUUCAUGGCCUCAAACCAUUUCGCGGAAUCUAGGCUCAUCAUCGCUUCCUCAUAGUUCGUAGGUUCGUCAUGGUCAAGUAACAUGACCUCCAGAACAGGAUUACCGUACCACUCUGGUGCGGAUCUCACUCUGGUUUACCUACAAGAUUCGGUAGUAAUUUGAUCUGAAGUUACAUGAUCAUCAUCAUUAGCUUCCUCACUAAUUGGUGUAGUAGUCACAAGAACAGAUUUUUGUGAUGAACUACUUUCCAAUAAGGUAGAAGGUACAAUUACCUUAUCAAGUUUUCUACUUUCCUCCCACUUAGUUCUUUCAAGAGAAACUCCUUCUCUAGAAAGGAUCCAUUAUAAGCAACGAAUGUCUUGCCUUAGGAUCUGUGAUAGAAGGUGUACCCAACAGUCUCCUUUGGGUAUCCUAUGAAGACAUAUUUCUCCGAUUUGGGUUUGAGCUUAUCAGGAUGAAUUUUUUUUCUCAUAAGCAUCGCAACCCCAAACUUCAAGAAACGACAACUUUGGUUUCUUGCCAAACCAUAGUUCAUAAGGCAUCGUCUCAACGGAUAUAGAUGGUGCCCCUUUUUUUUAACGUGAAUGCAACUGUCUCUAAUGCAUGACCCCAAAAAUGAUAGUGGUAAAUCGGUAAGAUACAUCAUAGAUUGCACUAUAUCCAAUAAAGUACGGUUAUGAUGUUCGGACACACCAUUAUGCUGUGGUGUUCCAGGUGGCGUGAGUAGUGAAACUAUUUCACAUUGUUUUAACUGAAGACCAAACUCGUAACUCAAAUACUCUUUUCCACGAUCAGAUCGUAGAAACUUUAUUUUCUUGUUACGAUGAUUUUCCACUUCACUCUGAAAUUAUAUGAACUUUUCAAAUGUAUCAGACUUCUAUUUCAUUAAGUAGAUAUACCCAUAUCUGCUCAACUCAUCUGUGAAGGUCAGAAAAUAAUGAUACCCGCUGCAAGCCUUAAAUAUUCAUAGGACCACAUACAUCAGUAUGUAUGAUUUCCAACAAAUCUGUUGCUUGCUCCAUUGUUCCGGAGAACGGCGUUUUAGUCAUCUUGCCCAAAAGGCAUGGUUCGCAAGCAUCAAGUGAUUCAUAAUCAAGUGAUUCCGAAAGCCCAUCAGCAUGGAGUUUCUUCAUGCGCUUUAUACCAAUAUGACCUAAACGGCAGUGCCACAAAUAAGUUGCACUAUCAUUAUUAACUUUGCAUCUUUUGGUUUCAAUAUUAUGAAUAUGUGUAUCACUACGAUUGAGAUCCAACGAACUUGUUUCAUUGGUGUAUGACCAUCGAAGGUUUUAUUCAUGUAAACAGAACAACAAUUAUUCUCUGACUUUAAUGAAUAACCGUAUUGCAAUAAACAUGAUCAAAUCAUAUUCAUGCUCAACGCAAAAACCAAAUAACACUUAUUUAAGUUCAACACUAAUCCCGAAAGUAUAGGGGAGUGUGCGAUGAUGAUCAUAUCAAUCUUGGAACUACUUCCAACACACAUCGUCACUUCACCCUUAACUAGUCUCUGUUUAUUCUGCAACUCCUAUUUCGAGUUACUACUCUUAGCAACUGAACCAAUAUCAAAUACUGAGGGGUUGCUAUAAACACUAGUAAAGCACACAUCAAUAACAUGUAUAUCAAAUAUACUUUUGUUCACUUUGCCAUCCUUCUUAUCCGCCAAAUACUUGGGGCAGUUCCGCUUCCAGUGACCAGUCCCUUUGCAGUAGAAGCACUUAGUCUCAGGCUUAGGACCAGACUUGGGCUUCUUCACUUGAGCAGCAACUUGCUUGCCGUUCUUUUUGAAGUUCCCUUCUUCCCUUUUGCACUUUUCUUCAAACUAGUGGUCUUGUCAACCAUCAACACUUGAUGUUUUUCUUGAUUUCUACCUUCAUCGAUUUCAGCAUCACGAAGAGCUUGGGAAUCGUUUCCGUUAUCCCUUGCAUAUCAUAGUUCAUCACGAAGUUCUACUAACUUGGUGAUGGUGACUAGAGAAUUCUGUCAAUCACUAUCUUAUCUGGAAGAUUAACUCCCACUUGAUUCAAGCGAUUGUAGUACCCAGACAAUCUGAGCACAUGCUCACUAGUUGAGCGAUUCUCCUUCAUCUUUUAGCUAUAGAACUUGUUGGAGACUUCAUAUCUCUCAACUCGGGUAUUUGCUUGAAAUAUUAACUUCAACUCCUGGAACAUCUCAUAUGGUCCAUGACGUUCAAAACGUCUUUGAAGUCCCGAUUCUAAGCCAUUAAGCAUGGUGCACUAAACUAUCAAGUAGUCAUCAUAUUGAGCUAGCCAAACGUUCAUAACGUCUGCAUCUGCUCCUGCAAUAGGUUUGUCACCUAGCGGUGCAUCAAGGACAUAAUUUUUCUGUGCAGCAAUGAGGAUAAACCUCAGAUCACGGAUCCAAUCCGUAUCAUUGCUACUAACAUCUUUCAACACAAUUUUCUCUAGGAACAUAUCAAAAUAAACAUAUGAAAGCAACAACGCGAGCUGUUGAUCUUCAACAUAGAUAUGCUAAUACUACCAGGACUAAGUUCAUGAUAAAUUAAAGUUCAAUUAAUCAUAUUACUUAAGAACUCCCACUUAGAUAGACAUCCCUCUAAUCCUCUAAGUGAUCACGUGAUCCAAAUCAACUAAACCAUAACCGAUCAUCACGUGAGAUGGAGUAUUUUUCAAUGGUGAACAUCGUUAUGUUGAUCAUAUCUACUAUAUGAUUCACGCUCGACCUUUCGGUCUCUGUGUUCCGAGGCCAUAUCUGCAUAUGCUAGGCUCGUCAAGUUUAACCUGAGUAUUCUGCGUGUGCAAAACUGGCUUGCACCCGUUGUAGAUGGACGUAGAGCUUAUCACACCCGAUCAUCACGUGGUGUCUGGGCACGACGAACUUUGGCAACGGUGCAUACUUAGGGAGAACACUUCAUGAUAAUUUAGUGAGCGAUCAUCUUAUAAUGCUACCGUCAAUCAAAGCAAGAUAAGAUGCAUAAAAGGAUAAACAUCACAUGCAAUCAAUAUAAGUGAUAUGAUAUGGCCAUCAUCAUCUUGUGCUUGUGAUCUCCAUCUCCGAAGCACCGUCAUGAUCACCAUCGUCACCGACGCGACACCUUGAUCUCCAUCGUAGCAUCGUUGUCGUCUCGCCAAUCUUAUGCUUCCACGACUAUCACUACCGCUUAGUAAUAAAGUAAAGCAUUACAUCGCGAUUGCAUUGCAUACAAUAAAGCGACAACCAUAUGGCUCCUGCCAGUUGCCGAUAACUUGGUUACAAAACAUGAUCAUCUCAUACAAUAAAAUCAGCAUCAUGCCUUGACCAUAUCACAUCACAACAUGCCCUGCAAAAACAAGUUAGACAUCCUCUACUUUGUUGUUGCAAGUUUUACGUGACUGCUACGGGCUUAAGUAAGAAGUCAUCUCACCUACGCAUCAAAACCACAACGAUAGUUCGUCAAAUAGACUCCGUUUUAACCUUCUCAAGGACCGGGCGUAGCCAUACUCGGUUCAACUAAAGUUGGAGAGACAGUCGCCCGCAAGCCAUCUAUGUGCUAAGCACGUCGAGGGAAUCGGUCUCGCGUAAGCGUACGCGUAAGGUUGGUCCGGGUCGUCUCGUCCAACAAUACCGCCGAACCAAAGUAUGACAUGCUGGUAGGCAGUAUGACUUGUAUCGCCCACAACUCACUUGUGUUCUACUCGUGCAAAUAACAUCAAACCAUAAAACCUAGGCUCGGAUGCCACUGUUGGGGAACGUAGUAAUUUCAAAACAUUUCUUACGCACACGCAAGAUCAUGGUGAUGCAUAGCAACGAGAGGGGAGAUUGUUGUCUACGUACCAACGCAGACCGACUGCGGAAGCGAUCACACAACAUAGAGGAAGUAGUCGUACGUCUUCUUUCCGAUCCGACCGAUCCAAGCACCGUUACUCCGGCACCUCCGAGUUCUUAGCACACGUACAGCUCGAUGACGAUCCCCGGGCAUCGAUCCAGCAAAGCUUUGGGGAGGAGUUCCGUCAGCACGACGGCGUGGUGACGAUCUUGAUGUUCUACCGACGCAGGGCUUCGCCUAAGCACUACAACGGUAUGACCGAGGUGGAAUAUGGUGGCAGGGGCAUCGCACACGGCUAAGGGACGAUCUCAAGGAUCAACUUGUGUGUCUAUGGGGUGCCCCUUGCCUCAGUAUAUAAAGGAUGGAGGAGGAGGAGGCCGGCCAAGGCAUAAGGUGCGGCCAGGAUGGGAGUCCUACUAGGACUCCAAGUCCUAGUAGGAGUCCAUCAAGAGGGGAGGAAGGGAGAAGGAAGUGGAGGAGUAGGAAAGGUGGCCGGCCCCUUUUCCCUAGUCCAAUUCGGACUAGAGGGGAGGGGGGCGCAGCAGGCCUUUUCUCCUCUUCCCACUAAAGCCCAUCAAGGCCCAAUACUUCUCCCAGCGAAUUCCCGUAACUCUCCGGUAGUCCGAAAAAUACCCGAAUCACUCGGAACCUUUCCGAAGUCCGAAUAUAGUCGUCCAAUAUAUCGAUCUUUACGUCUCGACCAUUUCGAGACUCCUCGUCAUGUCCCCGAUCUCAUCCGGGACUCCGAACUCCUUCGGUACAUCAAAACUCAUAAACUCAUAAUAUAACUGUCAUCGAAACCUUAAGCGUGCGGACCCUACGGUUCGAGAACAAUGUAGACAUGACCGAGACACGUCUCCGGUCAAUAACCAAUAGCGGGACCUGGAUGCCCAUAUUGGCUCCUACAUAUUCUACGAAGAUCUUUAUCGGUCAAACCGCAUAACAACAUACGUUGUUCCCUUUGUCAUAGGUAUGUUACUUGCCCGAGAUUCAAUCGUCGGUAUCCAAUACCUAGUUCAAUCUCGUUACCGGCAAGUCUCUUUACUCGUUCCGUAAUACAUCAUCUUGCAACUAACUCAUUAAUUGCAAUGCUUGCAAGGCUUAUGUGAUGUGCAUUACCGAGAGGGCCUAGAGAUACCUCUCCGACAAUCGGAGUGACAAAUCCUAAUCUCGAAAUACGCCAACCCAACAUCGACCUUUGGAGACACCUGUAAUGCUCCUUUAUAAUCACCCAGUUACGUUGUGACGUUUGGUAGCAGCCAAAGUGUUCCUCCGGCAAACGGGAGUUGCAUAAUCUCAUAGUCAUAGGAACAUGUAUAAGUCAUGAAGAAAGCAAUAGCAACAUACUAAACGAUCGUGUGCUAAGCUAAUGGAAUGGGUCAUGUCAAUCAGAUCAUUCAACUAAUGAUGUGAUCUCGUUAAUCAAAUAACAACUCUUUUGUCCAUGGUUAGGAAACAUAAUCAUCUUUGAUUAACGAGCUAGUCAAGUAGAGGCAUACUAGUGACACUCUGUUUGUCUAUGUAUUCACACAUGUAUUAUGUUUCCGGUUAAUACAAUUUUAGCAUGAAUAAUAAACAUUUAUCAUGAUAUAAGGAAAUAAAUAAUAACUUUAUUAUUGCCUCUAGGGCAUAUUUCCUUCAGUCAUCAUAUUGAGCUAGCCAAACGUUCAUAACGUCUACAUCUGCUCCUGCAAUAGGUCUGUCACCUAGCGGUGCAUCAAGGACAUAAUUCUUCUGUGCGGCAAUGAGGAUAAACCUCAGAUCACGGAUCCAAUCUGCAUCAUUGCUACUAACAUCUUUCAACACAAUUUCCUCUAGGAACAUAUCAAAACAAACACAGGGAAGUAACAACGCGAGCUAUCGAUCUACAACAUAAUUUGCAAAAUACUACCAGGACUAAGUUCAUGAUAAAUUUAAGUUCAAUUUAAUCAUAUUACUUUAAGAACUCCCACUUAGAUAGACAUCCCUCUAAUCCUCUAAGUGAUCACGUGAUCCAAAUUAACUAAACCAUAACCGAUCAUCACGUGAGAUGGAGUAGUUUUCAAUGGUGAACAUCGUUAUGUUGAUCAUAUCUACUAUAUGAUUCACGCUCGACCUUUCGGUCUCCGUGUUCCGAGGCCAUAUCUGUGAAGGAAAUAUGCCCUAGAGGCAAUAAUAAAGUUAUUAUUUAUUUCCUUAUAUCAUGAUAAAUGUUUAUUAUUCAUGCUAGAAUUGUAUUAACCGGAAACAUAAUACAUGUGUGAAUACAUAGACCAACAUAGUGUCACUAGUAUGCCUCUACUUGACUAGCUCGUUAAUCAAAGAUGGUUAUGUUUCCUAACCAUGAACAAAGAGUUGUUAUUUGAUUAACGAGGUCACAUCAUUAGUUGAAUGAUCUGAUUGACAUGACCCAUUCCAUUAGCUUAGCACCCGAUCGUUUAGUAUGUUGCUAUUGCUUUCUUCAUGACUUAUACAUGUUCCUAUAACUAUGAGAUUAUGCAACUCCCGUUUACCGGAGGAACACUUUGGGUACUACCAAACGUCACAACGUAACUGGGUGAUUAUAAAGGAGUACUACAGGUGUCUCCAAUGGUAGAUGUUGGGUUGGCGUAUUUCGAGAUUAGGGUUUGUCACUCCGAUUGUCGGAGAGGUAUCUCUGGGCCCUCUCGGUAAUGCACAUCACAUAAGCCUUGCAAGCACUGCAACUAAUAUGUUAGUUGUGAGAUGAUGUAUUACGGAACGAGUAAAGAGACUUGCCAGUAACGAGAUUGAACUAGGUAUUGGAUACCGACGAUCGAAUCUCGGGCAAGUAACAUACCGAUGACAAAGGGAACAACGUAUGUUGUUAUGCGGUCUGACCGAUAAAGAUCUUCGUAGAAUAUGUAGGAGCCAAUAUGGGCAUCCAGGUCCCGCUAUUGGUUAUUGACCGGAGACGUGUCUCGGUCAUGUCUACAUUGUUCUCGAACCGUAGGGUCCGCACGCUUAACGUUACGAUGACAGUUAUUAUGAGUUUAUGCAUUUUGAUGUACCGAAGGUUGUUCGGAGUCCCAGAUGAGAUCACAGACUUGACGAGGAGUCUCGAAAUGGUCGAGACGUAAAGAUUGAUAUAUUGGAAGCCUAUGUUUGGACAUAGGAAGUGUUCCGGGUGAAAUCGGGAUUUUACCGGAAUACCGGGAGGGUUACCGGAACCCCCCGGGAGACUAAUGGGCCUAUUGGGCCUUAGUGGAAAAAGAGAAAAGGGGCAACCCAUAGCUGGCCGGCGCCCCCCCUUUCCCCAAGUCCUAGUAGGACUAGGAUAAGGGGCCGGCCCCCCCUUCUCUCUCCUUUUCCCCGAGAGUCCUAAUUGGAAUAGGAUUGGAGGGGGGAGUCCUACUCCCGGUGGGAGUAGGACUCCCCCUGCGCCUCCCUCUCCCUGGCCGGCCGCCCCCCCUCCUCCAACCUUUAUAUACGGGGGCAGGGGACACCCCAAGACACACAAGUUGAUCCUUGAGAUCGUUCCUUAGCCGUGUGCGGUGCCCCCUGCCACCAAAUUCCACCUCGAUCAUACCGUUACAGUGCUUAGGCGAAGCCCUGCGUCGGUAGUACAUCAAGAUCGUCACCACGCCGUCGUGCUGACGGAACUCUUCCUCGACGCUUUGCUGGAUCGGAGCCCGAGGAACGUCAUCGAGCUGAACGUGUGCUAAGAACUCGGAGGUGCCGGAGUAACGGUGCUUGGAUCGGUCGGAUCGGAAAGAAGACGUACGACUACUUCCUCUACGUUGUGUGAUCACUUCCGCAGUCGGUCUGCGUUGGUACGUAGACAACACUCUCCCCUCUCGUUGCUGUGCAUCACCAUGAUCUUGUGUGUGCGUAGGAAAAUUUUCGAAAUUACUGCGUUCCCCAACAAUCUGCAUAUGCUAGGCUCGUCAAGUUUAACCUGAGUAUUCUGCGUGUGCAAAAACUGGCUUGCACCCGUUGUAGAUGGACGUAGAGCUUAUCACACUCUAUCAUCACGUGGUGUCUGGGCACGAUGAACUUUGGCAACGGUGCAUACUCAGGGAGAACACUUCUUGAUAAUUUAGUGAGAGAUCAUCUUAUAAUGCUACCGUCAAUCAAAGCAAGAUAAGAUGCAUAAAAAAGAUAAACAUCACAUGCAAUCAAUUCAAUAUAAGUGAUAUGAUAUGGCCAUCAUAUUCUUGUGCUUGUGAUCUCCAUCUCCGAAGCACCGUCAUGAUCACCAUCGUCACCGGCGCGACACCUUGAUCUCCAUCGUAGCAUCGUUGUCGUCUUGCCAAUCUUAUGCUUCCACGACUAUCGCUACCGCUUAGUGAUAAAGUAAAGCAUUACAUCGCGAUUGCAUUGCAUACAAUAAAACGACAACCAUAUGGCUCCUGCCAGUUGCCGAUAACUCGGUUACAAAACAUGAUCAUCUCAUACAAUAAAAUUUAGCAUCAUGUCUUGACCAUAUCACAUCACAACAUGCCCUGCAAAAACAAGUUAGACGUCCUCUACUUUGUUGUUGCAAGUUUUACGUGGCUGCUACGGGCUUAAGCAAGAACCAAUCUCAGCUACGCAUCAAAACCACAAUGAUAGUUUGUCAAAUAGACUCCGUUUUAACCUUCGCAAGGACCGGGCGUAGCCACACUUGGUUCAACUAAAGUUGGAGAAACAGUCACCCGCAAGCCACCUUUGUGCAAAGCACGUCGGGAGAACCGGUCUCGCGUAAGCGUACGCGUAAUGUCGGUCCGGGCCGCUUCAUCCAACAAUACCGCCGAACCAAAGUAUGACAUGCUGGUAGGCAGUAUGACUUAUAUCGCCCACAACUCACUUGUGUUCUACUCGUGCAUAUAACAUCAAACCAUAAAACCUAGGCUCUGAUACCACUGUUGGGGAACGUAGUAAUUUCAAAAAAUUUCCUACGCACACGCAAGAUCAUGGUGAUGCAUAGCAACGAGGGGGAGAGUCUGAUCUACGUACCCUUGUAGAUCGCAACGGAAGCGUUGACACAACGUAGAGGAAGUAGUCGUACGACUUCUUCCCGAUCCGACCGAUCCAAGCACCAUUACUCCGGCACCUCCAAGUUCUUAGCACACGUACAGCUCGAUGACGAUCCCCGGGCUCCGAUCCAGCAAAGCUCCGGGGAGGAGUUCCGUCAGCACGACGGCGUGGUGACGAUCUUAAUGUACUACCGACGCAGGGCUGCGCCUAAGCACUACAACGGUAUUAUCGAGGUGGAAUAUGGUGGCAGGGGGCACCGCACACGGUUAGGAACGAUCUCAAUGAUCAACUUGUGUGUCUAUGGGGUGCCCCCUGCCCCCGUAUAUAAAGGAGCAAGGGAGGAGGGGCGGCCGGCCUAGGAGUGGGCGCGCCAAGGGGAGUCCUACUCCCACCGGGAGUAGGACUCCUUCUUUCCUUGUCCAACUAGGAGAAGGGGGGAAUGGAGGGAAGUGGAGAAGGAAGGGAGAGGUGGGCCGCGCCCCAAAUCCCUUGUCCAAUUCAGACUAGGCUUGGGAGGGGCGCGCGCCACCUCCUGGCUCCUUCCCACUAAAGCCCAUUAAGGCCCAAUACUCUUCCCCGUAUUCCCGUAACUCCCCGGUACCUCCGAAAAUACCCGAAUCACUCGGAACCUUUCCGAUGUCUGAAUUGUAACACCCUCGAUGCGACUAUAUCUCCCACGUGUCGAGGCACGACUUAGAGGCAUAAUCGCAUUGAAGGCAAUGUCGCAAGUGAGGUAAUCUUCACACAACCCAUGUAAUACAAUAGGGGAAAAAGUUACAUAGUUGGCUUACAAUCGCCACUUCACACAAUUACAUGAAUAAAGCAUUACAUCAUUCAAAUACACUCAAGGUCCGACUACGGAACCAAAAUAAAAGAAGAACCCCAAAUGCGACAAAGGUCCCCGAUCGACCCCAACUGGGCACCACUACUGAUCAACUAGAACGAAACAACAUAAAGGACAAGAUCUUCAACGAGCUCCUCCUGAGCUUGGUUGCGUCAUCUGCACGGACUCAUCGGCACCUGCAAACUGGUUUUGGAAGUAAUCUGUGAGCCAUGGGGACUCAGCAAUCUCGCACCCUCGCGAUCAAGACUAUUUAAGCUUAUGGGUAAGGUAAAGGUAUGAGGUGGAGCUGCAGCAAGCGACUAGCAUAUAUGGUGGCUAACAUACGCAAAUGAGAGCGAGAAGAGAAGGCAAGGCACGGUCGAUAAAGUAUGAUCAAGAAGUGAUCAUGGACUACCUACGUCAAGCAUAACUCCAACAACCGUGUUCACUUCCCGGACUCCGCCGGAAAGAGACCAUCACGGUUACACACGCGGUUGAUUCAUUUUAAUUAAGGUCGACUUCAGGUUUUCUACAACCGGACGUUAACAAAUUCCCAUCUGCCCAUAACCGCGAGCACGGCUUUCGAAAGAUCAAAUCCCUGCAGGGGUGUCCCAACUUAGCCCAUUACAAGCUCUCACGGACAACGAAGGAAUAGACCUCCACCCGAGACAUUCCGAUCAGACUCGGUAUCCCAGUACAACAAGACAUUUCGACAGGGUAAAACUAAACCAGCAACACCACCCGAAUGUGCCAACAAAUCCCGAUAGGAGCUGCACAUAUCUCUUUCUCAGGGCACACCGGAUCGUCCAAACUUCCGGUAGGCCAGCCCAGAGUUGCCCCUGGUGGCCACCGGCGGCUGACAGUUUGGACCAACACUCAGAGGAGCACUGGCCCGGGGGGGGGGGGUAAAUAAUGAUGACCCUUGAGUCUGCAGUACCCAAGGGAAAGAAAAAGGCUAGGUGGCAAAUGGUAAAACCAAUGUUGGGCAUUGCUGGAGAAGCUUUACUUAAGGCGAACUUGUAACACCCUCGAUGCGACUAUAUCUCCCACGUGUCGAGGCACGAUUUUGAGGCAUAAUCGCAUUGAAGGCAUAUGUCACAAGUGAGGUAAUCUUCACACAACCCAUGUAAUAUAACAAGGGAAAGAGAUACAUAGUUGGCUUACAACCGCCACUUCACACAAUUACAUGAAUAAAGCAUUACAUCAAUCAAGUACACUCAUGGUCCGACUACGGAACCAAAAUAAAAGAAGAACCCCAAAUGCGACAACGGUCCCCGAUCGACCCCAACUGGGCUCCACUACUGAUCAACUAGCACGAAACAACACAAAGGACAAGAUCUUCAUUGAGCUCCUCCUGAGCUUGGUAGCGUCAUCUGCUCGGUCUCAUCGGCACCUGCAAGCUGGUUUUGGAAGUAUCUGUGAGCCACAGGGACUCAGCAAUCUCGCACCCUCGCGAUCAAGACUAUUUAAGCUUAUGGGUAAGGCAAAGGUAUGAGGUGGAGCUGCAGCAAGCGACUAGCAUAUAUGGUGGCUAACAUACGCAAAUGAGAGCGAGAAGAGAAGGCAAAGCACGGUCGAUAAAAGUACGAUCAAGAAGUGAUCCUGGACUACCUACGUCAAGCAUAACUCCAACAACCGUGUUCACUUCCCGGACUCCGCCGGAAAGAGACCAUCACGGUUACACACGCGGUUGAUUCAUUUUAAUUAAGGUUGACUUUAGGUUUUCUACAACCGGACGUUAACAAAUUCCCAUCUGCCCAUAACCGCGGGCACGGCUUUCGAAAGAUCAAAUCCCUGCAGGGGUGUCCCAACUUAGCCCAUAACAAGCUCUCACGGUCAACGAAGGAAUAGACCUCCACCCGAGACAUUCCGAUCAGACUCGGUAUCCCAGUACAACAAGACAUUUCGACAGGGUAAAACUAAACCAGCAACACCGCCCGAUGCGCCGACAUCCUGAUGGGAGCUGCACAUAUCUCGUUCUCAGGGAAACACCGGAUGAGACAUCCUACGAGUAAAACCAGCCCUCAAGUUUCCCCGAGGUGGCCCUGUAGUCUACUCAGUUCGGANNNNNNNNNNNNNNNNNNNNNNNNNNNNNNNNNNNNNNNNNNNNNNNNNNNNNNNNNNNNNNNNNNNNNNNNNNNNNNNNNNNNNNNNNNNNNNNNNNNNNNNNNNNNNNNNNNNNNNNNNNNNNNNNNNNNNNNNNNNNNNNNNNNNNNNNNNNNNNNNNNNNNNNNNNNNNNNNNNNNNNNNNNNNNNNNNNNNNNNNNNNNNNNNNNNNNNNNNNNNNNNNNNNNNNNNNNNNNNNNNNNAAAGAGGCUAGGUGGCGAAUGGUAAAACCAAUGUUGGGCAUUGCUGGAGAAGCUUUACUUAAGGCGAACUGUCAAGGGGUUCCCAUUAUAGCCCAACCGCGUAAGGGACGCAAAAUCCGGGAACAUAACACCGAUAUGACGGAAACUAGGGCGGCAAGAGUGGAACAAAACACCAGGCAUAAGGCCGAGCCUUCCACCCUUUACCAAGUAUAUAGAUGCAUUAAAUAAAUAAGAUAUAUAGUGAUAUCCCAACAAGUAAAAAAAUGUCCCAACAAGGAACAACAUCUCCAUGUUCCAACAAGGAACAAGCUUCAAUCUUCACCUGCAACUAACAACGCUAUAAGAGGGGCUGAGCAAAGCGGUAACAUAGCCAAUCAACGGUUUGCUAGGACAAAGGUGGGUUAGAGGCUGGACAUGGCAAUUGGGAGGCUGACAAGCAAGUGGUAGGCAUCAUAGCAAUGGCAUAGCAAAAGAGCGAGCAUCUAGCAAAGCAAAGAUAGAAGUGAUUUCGAGGGUAUGAUCAUCUUGCCUGAAAAUCCCGCAAGGAAGAAGAACGAGUCCAUGAAGAAGACAAACGGGCGAAGUCGAACGGAUCCUCACAAACUCGACGUUAUCGGAACCAACCCGAAGAAGCAAACACCGGAAAAGAGCAAACAACAUAGUAAACAACCAACACAUCAACAUGGCAUGAUGCACAAUCGAGUAUGAUGCAUGUCCGGCUUAAAGGGGGCAUGGCAUGGCAAAAUGCACAAACAAUCCUACAAAUUAAGUGGAGCUCAAUAUGCAACGAGUUGCAUAUUGACGAAACACCACAUCAACUAUUUAGUUCGAUCUCGUUAUGUACCCCAACAAUAUUAAAUGUUGAUUAACAUGGCAAGAGGUGAAGCAAAAGAAAACUACCUAUCUAGUCAAGGUUAAAUGAGGCCGGAA
rnacentral:lncRNA from 1 species